AACGAACGCUGGCGGCAGGCUUAACACAUGCAAGUCGAGCGCCCCGCAAGGGGAGCGGCAGACGGGUGAGUAACGCGUGGGAACGUACCUUUUGGUUCGGAACAACUCCGGGAAACUGGAGCUAAUACCGGAUAAGCCCUAACGGGGAAAGAUUUAUCGCCGAAAGAUCGGCCCGCGUCUGAUUAGCUAGUUGGUGAGGUAACGGCUCACCAAGGCGACGAUCAGUAGCUGGUCUGAGAGGAUGAUCAGCCACACUGGGACUGAGACACGGCCCAGACUCCUACGGGAGGCAGCAGUGGGGAAUAUUGGACAAUGGGCGCAAGCCUGAUCCAGCCAUGCCGCGUGAGUGAUGAAGGCCUUAGGGUUGUAAAGCUCUUUUGUCCGGGAAGAUAAUGGCUGUACCGGAAGAAUAAGCCCCGGCUAACUUCGUG
rnacentral:rRNA from 1 species